UUUGAGUCACGUUAUCUCCCCCUCCCUCUUCCCCAAUUAAUCCCCUCCCCUUGAAGUCAAUCCCCAUAACUUAAACCUCAAUCUCUUCCCCUUAAACCCUUUUCUUCGAGGUUUUUGAGUCACGUUAUCUCCCCCUCCCUCUUCCUCAAUUCCUCCCCUCCCUUUGUAGUUAAUCCCCAUAACUUAAACCUCAAUCUCUUCCCCUUAAACCCUUUUCUUCGAGGUUUUUGAGUCACGUUAUCUCCCCCUCCCUCUUCCUCAAUUCCUCCCCUCCCUUGAAGUCAAUCCCCAUAACUUAAACCUGAAUCUCUUCCCCAUAACCCCUUUUUUUCGAGGUUUCUGAGUCCCGUUACCUCCCCCUCCCUCUUCACCGGUUCCCCCUCUUCCUCCCCUCCCUUUUCAGUCACUCCCAAAAUUUAGAUAUCAAGUUCGAGUUUUUUUUAGACAUGUCCCCUUUCCUUCCCCUGAACCAUUCACUCCCAUCCCCUCCAUCCCCUCCUCCUCUAGUUCUUCCCCAUUAUAAAAACCCGUAGCCCAUAUACCCCAUGACUUCAAGAGCUAUAGAGGACGUGCAGACAGACCCACCUAAUCCAGCACGGCUACACCCAUUCAAUAGAUUAUCUUGAGACUCCCUUCCCCUCCCUCCCUCCUUCUUCCCAUCCCGAUAUGGCCUCGCCCGGUCAUGAUGAAAUACCAGAUCUAGUCCGUUGGUAGUGUUUUGUUGUGUUCUUUCGUUCGUGUUAUAUAAGAAGUAGCUGUUUCAUCUUUCCGUAUAGUGUGUCUUUUAAGCGUUCAUCACGUUUUUGUUGUUUUUCUUGUUCUUGCUGCUGUUGUUGUUGUUGUUGAUCUUGUAACGUGUGUGAGUUUAUGAAUAAAGUGAGUGUGUAUUUA